rnacentral:rRNA from 1 species
AUUGAACGCUGGCGGCAUGAUUUACACAUGCAAGUCGAACGGUAACAGGCCGCAAGGUGCUGACGAGUGGCGAACGGGUGAGUAAUGCAUCGGAACGUGCCCAGUCGUGGGGGAUAACUACUCGAAAGAGUAGCUAAUACCGCAUACGAUCUAUGGAUGAAAGCGGGGGACCGUGAGGCCUCGCGCGAUUGGAGCGGCCGAUGUCAGAUUAGGUAGUUGGUGGGGUAAAGGCUCACCAAGCCAACGAUCUGUAGCUGGUCUGAGAGGACGACCAGCCACACUGGGACUGAGACACGGCCCAGACUCCUACGGGAGGCAGCAGUGGGGAAUUUUGGACAAUGGGCGCAAGCCUGAUCCAGCAAUGCCGCGUGCAGGAAGAAGGCCUUCGGGUUGUAAACUGCUUUUGUACGGAACGAAACGGCUCUGGUUAAUACCCGGGGCUAAUGACGGUACCGUAAGAAUAAGCACCGGCUAACUACGUG